GGGGGGGGGGGGGGGGGGGGGUGGGGGGGGGGGGUGGGGGGGGGGGGGGAGGGGGGUGCUUGUCUGAUGGUAGCGGCGGACGGGUGAGUAAGACUUGGAUAAGCGACCUAUAAGACUGGGAUAACUUCGGGAAACCGGAGCUAAUACCGGAUGCUAUUUUGACUCGCAUGGUUCACAAGUUAAACACUGUCUUUCUGUCACUAAUAGAUGGUUCCGCGCUGCAUUAUCUAGUUGGUAAGGUAACGGCUUACCAAGGCAACGAUGCAUAGCCGACCUGAGAGGGGUAUCGGCCACACUGGAACUGAGACACGGUCCAGACUCCUACGGGAGGCAGCAGUAGGGAAUCUUCCGCAAUGGGCGAAAGCCUGACGGAGCAACGCCGCGUGAGUGAUGAAGGUCUUCGGAUCGUAAAACUCUGUUAUUAGGGAAGAACAUAUGUGUAAGUAACUGUGCACAUCUUGACGGUACCUAAUCAGAAAGCCACGGCUAACUACGUG
rnacentral:rRNA from 1 species